GACGAACGCUGGCGGCGUGCUUAACACAUGCAAGUCGAACGAAGUGGCGAACGGGUGAGUAACACGUGGGUAACCUGCCCUCCUUUUUGGGAUAAGCAUUGGAAACGGGGUCUAAUACCGAAUAUAAGGGGAUGGGCUUGCGGCCUAUCAGCUUGUUGGUGGGGUGAUGGCCGACCAAGGCGGUGACGGGUAGCCGGCCUGCGGGGGUGACCGGCAACGUUGGGACGGAGAGACGGCCCAGAGUCCUAGGAGAGGGAGCAGUGGGGGAUAUUGCACAAUGGUCGAAAGGCUGAUGCGGCGACGCGGCGUGGGGGAUGGAGGCUUUCGGGUUGUAAACUUGUUUCGCUAUCGAGCGGGUAGGUGGAGAAGAAGCGCCGGCUAACUACGUGCCAGCAGCCGCGGUAAUUC
rnacentral:rRNA from 1 species